rnacentral:rRNA from 1 species
GACGAACGCUGGCGGCGUGCCUAAUACAUGCAAGUAGAACGCUGAAGGAGGAGCUUGCUUCUCUGGAUGAGUUGCGAACGGGUGAGUAACGCGUAGGUAACCUGCCUGGUAGCGGGGGAUAACUAUUGGAAACGAUAGCUAAUACCGCAUAAGAGUAGAUGUUGCAUGACAUUUGCUUAAAAGUUGCAAUUGCAUCACUACCAGAUGGCCCUGCGUUGUAUUAGCUAGUUGGUGGGGUAACGGCUCACCAAGGCGACGAUACAUAGCCGACCUGAGAGGGUGAUCGGCCACACUGGGACUGAGACACGGCCCAGACUCCUACGGGAGGCAGCAGUAGGGAAACUUCGGCAAGGGACGGAAGUCUGACCGAGCAACGCCGGGGGAGUGAAGAAGGUUUUCGGAUCGUAAAGCUCUGUUGUAAGAGAAGAACGAGUGUGAGAGUGGAAAGUUCACACUGUGACGGUAUCUUACCAGAAAGGGACGGCUAACUACGUG